rnacentral:rRNA from 1 species
GACGAACGCUGGCGGCGUGCUUAACACAUGCCAGUCGAACGGAAAGGCCCUGCUUUUGUGGGGUGCUCGAGUGGCGAACGGGUGAGUAACACGUGAGUAACCUGCCCUUGACUUUGGGAUAACUUCAGGAAACUGGGGCUAAUACCGGAUAGGAGCUCCUGCUGCAUGGUGGGGGUUGGAAAGUUUCGGCGGUUGGGGAUGGACUCGCGGCUUAUCAGCUUGUUGGUGAGGUAGUGGCUUACCAAGGCUUUGACGGGUAGCCGGCCUGAGAGGGUGACCGGCCACAUUGGGACUGAGAUACGGCCCAGACUCCUACGGGACGCAACAGUGGGGAAUAUUGCACAAUGGGCGGAAGCCUGAUGCAGCAACGCCGCGUGCGGGAUGACGGCCUUCGGGUUGUAAACCGCUUUCGCCUGUGACGAAGCGUGAGUGACGGUAAUGGGUAAAGAAGCACCGGCUAACUACGUG